UUCGGUUUGGAUAACUGUGGUUAUUAAUGGUUCUGUUUGGUUAAUUAACCAUUAUCAUUGUAAUGGUUCAGUUCAAAA
rnacentral:pre_miRNA from 1 species